CCUCUUUUUAAGCUCCUUCCACCUCCAUCUAUACGACUAGCCCAUCUGAAAAUAGAAACAACCUCACACAGAGAGAGAGGAUCAAUAAAAGAACAAGAACAAAAAAUGAGUGAGUGUAAACGAUGCACUGUCACAAUUGUGCCUAUGGAGGAAGCAUCUUCAAGUGAACCCACCAUUUCCAAGAAACGCAAGACCUCCCAGUUACGCUCUUCCGACACGCACCACUGGUUUUUCGACACUACCGUGUCGCCGGAAGCUUCCGUCAAUUCCGCCGGCACCGUGGUUUCUGGUGAACCUUGCUCUGAUCGCUCGUGCUGUAGCUCUAGCCACGUUAAGGAGCUCCACACUGCGCCGUUAGAUCUGCAGACCAAGGGUUUCAAAACGGUACAUUCAACCAAGCACAAUUUCAAAUCGUCCAGCUUGUUGAGUGAGUUUUCUGGAGACUCGGAAGAAUCGACGAUGUUUCCGGCGAAGUCUUCGGCGGAGGUGACCGAGAAACGAAAAGUCAAGGAACCGGCGAAGGCGGAGAUCGAAGAGUUUUUCGCAAUGGCUGAAAAGUACGAGCAGAAGCGAUUCGUAGAGAAGUACAACUUUGAUAUUGUUAGAGAUAUGCCGUUGGAGGGUCGCUACCAGUGGGUUCGUUUACAUUGAAUGCUUUGAAUGAGAGAGAGAGAGAGAGAGUUAUUUUAAUUUUAGAGAGAGAUUCAUCGAGGUAGACGGUUAAGGGGAGAAGAGAGAGUGAGUUUAUCGUGCUGGCUAUUAGACACUGGUGACUGGGGAGGUAGCUAACCUAACACGAGGUAAAACGAAAACGAGCGUGCGACUUCUGGUUGCUCCGGAGAGACGGCGAUAGUGCUGGUAGUGGUGUGUUAGUUUUUGUAUAGCUAACUGCUUUCUCUUUUUUUUCUAACAAGAAGCUGGCUAUUCUGCUACUCCGCAUUCAGAUAGAAGUAGUACAAGUGUAGAACCUUCCUUCCUGGUGAGGCGAUGAAGAAAAGAAAAAUCAAUUUGGUUCUGUGGGAAAUAUACAAUUAGAAAACAAAAAUUCCCGCAUUGAAUGGGUGAUCUAGAAUUUGGUCAUUUGGAAUAUCCUCUCCAUCCCGAGCUAUGAUGAUUCCCCUAUUUUUUGUGGGGACCACGUGUGCCUGGUUGCUAAGAAAUGACUGCACAGACUAAUUAAAGUCUUCUACAUCUCAUAUGCGGCUUUAUGAUUGAAUUUGAAGGUAUAUGCUUUGCAUUAUCAAAAUACACAAAAUUAACAACCACUUACAAUGACCACCGAACUUACAACCUACCCUUUUAAUAAACAAAAGGGAGUAAUGACUCUACAAAUCCAUACACCUACCCUACAUGUCUAAAUUUAUGGAUUUGCUCGGUUAAUAAUGGAAACCAUGUUCUCCUUUCGCAUAUUUUCUGUUAGAAUGAAUAGAUACCCAUGUAAUUGAAUCUGGUCCAUUUUGUGAAUGCUAGUGUCUUUUUGGUGAUGAUCUUCAAUUAUUGAAGUUGCUAAAUAUAUAUGUUGAUGAUUUAAAAGAGAUAAAAAGCAGUGAGGAGGUUUAAUUGAAAGUGAAGGGGUAUCGGUUGACAUGAAAAUGGCAUAUAUUGAUUACACAAGGUAUUUCCUAAGUAAGGUUUGAGGAAAUAGAUAGGCAAAAAGUAAAGUAGCUUUUAAUCUUAAUUUUGUAUGUUGCUUAACGGUAGUUGAGUAAAGGAUAUAUGGAGGUGACAUAAUAUUCGUUAGGACAGAGUGAAUUGUAGAAACGAAAAGAAAGUGGGUCCAUAGGUGCCGUGUAGAAUGUCAUGAUUACACACGUGUCAAAAACGGCAGCAGGUGCACCCUUAUCCAUGUCAUCAUGGAUCCAAAUGUGCACUUUCCAGCCUUUCCUUUUUCUAUAUGAUGAACCAAAUAUCGAUAUAAGAUAAAUGAUGCAAGUAGAAGACUUGCACGUGGUGUGCUGCAUUAAUAUCGCCAGGUUUAAUUUGCUUCGGAUCUGCUGCCAUUUUCAAACAGAGUGCACACCACGCAAAAACAGAUAUGCAGAAUUUUUAACUUGCCAUGUUAAAUUUCGCAAAAUCAGUCAAAUUUAUUAUUAUUUCUCAGCUCAGCUCAGGUACUGUAUAUUUAAUCUACUACCUUACAUGUUUAAUAUUUUUUUCUAGUAUGUUA